AACGCGAAGAACCUUACCUGGGCUUGACAUGCAUCGUGUCGCCGGUGAAAGCCGGCUAGUGUAGCAAUACACGCUUUGCACAGGUGCUGCAUGGCUGUCGUCAGCUCGUGUCGUGAGAUGUUGGGUUAAGUCCCGCAACGAGCGCAACCCUUAUCUCCAGUUGCCAUCAUUCAGUUGGGCACUCUGGCGAAACCGCCUCGGAUAACGGGGAGGAAGGUGGGGAUGACGUCAAGUCCUCAUGGCCUUUAUGUCCAGGGCUACACACGUGCUACAAUGGCCGGUAUAAACCGCUGCAAACCCGCGAGGGGGAGCUAAUCGGAAAAAGCCGGCCUCAGUUCGGAUCGCAGUCUGCAACUCGACUGCGUGAAGCUGGAAUCGCUAGUAAUCGCAGAUCAGAAUGCUGCGGUGAAUACGUUCCCGGGCCUUGUACACACCGAGACGAC
rnacentral:rRNA from 1 species